AGCAGCCGCGGUAAUUCCAGCUCCAAUAGCGUAUAUUAAAGUUGUUGCAGUUAAAAAGCUCGUAGUUGAACUUCGGGGUUUACUCAUUGGUCAGGCUUAAUUGUCUGUACUGGUGAGAUGAAUCUCUACCUUCUGAGGAACUUUUAUGCCAUUUAUUUGGUGUGAUGGGAAAUCAGGACUGUUACUUUGAAAAAUUAGAGUGUUUAAAGCAGGCUAACGUCUGAAUACAUUAGCAUGG
rnacentral:rRNA from 1 species